UACAGAGGGGGCAAGCGUUGUUCGGAAUUACUGGGCGUAAAGGGCGCGUAGGCGGCCUGCUAAGUCGAACGUGAAAUCCCUGGGCUCAACCCAGGAACUGCGUCCGAUACUGGUUGGCUUGAAUCCGGGAGAGGGACGUGGAAUUCCAGGUGUAGCGGUGAAAUGCGUAGAUAUCUGGAGGAACACCGGUGGCGAAGGCGGCUUUCUGGACAAAUACCGACGCUGAGGCACGAAAGCUAGGGGAGCAAACAGG
rnacentral:rRNA from 1 species